rfam:Dufourea novaeangliae contig196, whole genome shotgun sequence.
GACAACGUUCAUACUACGUUCUAAAAUACCGGUUCUCGUCCGAUCACCGAAGUCAAGAGGCGUUGGGCGUGGUUAGUACUUGGAUGGGUGACCGCCUGGGAAUACCGCGUAAUGUUGGCA